GACCGGGCCAGUUUCACGGGCCUGCGUCAACCCACACAUCACGACGGCAUCAGGCUCCUCGCCGUGAACGAGCCCCAUCAACCCCCGUCGACUGCUCGGCUGCUCCUCUCCCAACCAUGGCGGCCGUGGCGCCUACCCCCGACAACCUCGAGCCCCCGCCGUCCACUCCUCCAAACACGGCAACCCCACCUCAGGCCACCGUCACGUCCACCCCGCCGAACCAGGCAACCCCUAAUCCCCCGGCCUCCAACCCCACGAUGUCAAGCCCUAACCCUAACCCCGCCCUCGCCCCCGCCCCUCCGGUCGUCCUGCCGCCGUUGCCCCCUGUUCCGGUAUCCUUCGCCCCUUCCUUCCGGCCGCUGGGUGCACCGCCCUCGCCGCAGGUGCAGCAGUACGGUGCUAUACGUAAUCCGGGCUACCUGAUGGGACAGCCGAUGCAGCCGCCAGGCGUGCACCACGUGAUGCGUCCGCCGACCAUGUACGCGCCCCAGCCGGGUCCGUACAUGCAGCAGCCGGGCGUCGCCGUUCCUCCCGGUGGGUCCCGUUCUCCAUCCAUCUCUAGGCUUAUACGAUUGAAUGGCAAUAGAUUUAUGCUUCCGCCUGAUUGUGCCUGGGAAAUCUCCCGACGUUCCAUGUGCUGCGCUGUAGGAAAUCUGGUGGAAUCGACUGGAUAUGUCUUUAACACGCGGGUAGGAUCUGGGAUUAGGGUUUAGAGGUGGGAUGCGCCUGAUGCUAGUGAUUUACAGUAGUGUUUAGAGAAACUGGCAUCCCCUCGCUUGAUAACGAUGACAGGGUAUUUCUCUGCUACAGCGGUGGUCGUGCCGGCCAUUACUCCCUUCAGCGAGAGGUGCCGGCUCAUGUUUGAUUCUGCUGCUCUAACUGAAGCUAUAACAGAUCAUUUUCUCCCUCACUGCAUGUGGUAUGCUGACUGUUUGAAUUUGAACUGGUUAUAUUUAAAUUGUGUGAAAUUGAUUUAAAUGCUUUAGCUUGCCGUUUAAUUAGGCUCGGUUUCUGUAUGUACUUAGAUCCUUCGACAAUGGGUUGUUCAAAAAAUGGGCUAAGGUACCAUGAUUUCCUGUCGCUUAAUUUCAUGUCAAGUAUUUCUUGCUUAAUUUGGUUUAAAUUACUUUUAUCGUUAAUAAGAAGUUUAGAGUGAGUGACACAUUUGCUUAAGCUUUUAUAUCUUGAGUAGUGCAAUGCAAUGGUGUGAGCUGUCCCAAGUUUUGCAAAUAACCAAUACAAGUACGUUAUCCUGCCUAAUGGGCGCUAAGAGGUAAGGCUAGCUUUCCCUAGUUCUUAUUUUAUUUGAAAAUAAUAUUGUUUUUUUGUCGAUGUUCAUCCCGGUUAUUCUGAAUAUGCAAGAUACCUGCUUAUCUAUUUAGUGCUGCUCUUCUUUCCCUGUGUCUUAUGCUAGCUUACAUAUUUUUAAAGGAUUAAUGUAUGCACUCUGUGCUCUGUUUUCUGGACUGUUACUAAUGUGGCAGCAUAGAUGUUUGUUUGUUUCUCUCUUCAGGUGUGCAUCGUUAUCCUGGACCAUAUACUAUGAUGCGUCCAUGUUUUCCUCCACGCCCAAUGCCUCCUGUUGGUGUUGUGCAAAUUCAACGGCCAGCAACAAUUCCUGGAAUUCGUGGUGCUCCUCCUAUGGUAGCCCCUCCUGCCAGACCGCCUGCUCCAGCUGUCACACCCGCUGACAAACCACCAACUGCAGUUUAUGUCGGGAAGAUCGCCCCAACAGUGGACAAUGGUUUGCUUCUUUCGCUUCUUCGGAUUUGUGGACCUGUCAAGAGUUGGAAGCGCACCCAAAAUCCAAGUAAUGGCAAACCAGUAGCGUUUGGCUUUUGUGAGUUUGAAUCUGCUGAAGGCAUCCUUCGUGCGACACGGUUGCUGAACAAAUUGAGCAUUGAUGGGCAAGAACUGGUGGUUAAUAUUAAUGAUGCCACCAAAGAGUACCUGAAGAAACAUGUUGAAGAAAAGAAGAAGGUACAUGAGAACACCAAAAAGGAGGAAGAUGAAGGUGGGGAUGGGACUUCUGCUGUUGCUGAAAAUGAAUCAUUGAAGCUUGUUUCUGGUAAAACAGAUGAAACAGAAGAUUCCGGAGAUAAGGAUAGUGAAGAAAACACCAAGAAAUUUGGGAUUGUUACAAAUGAGGAUUCUGAGGCUGAUAAGGCUGCUGCAGAACUAAUAAACAGUAUUAUUGAAGAGUGGUUAAAGACUCGACCCCUGCCGCCGCCACCACCACCCCCGCCGGUUCAACCAUCUGCUGACAUCUCAUCCAAACAUAACAACGGGGAGUCUGUUGUUGACAUGGCAAUGACUGAUUCUGAAGAUAAUGAUGAUUGUGUUGACAAAAGGACAGUUAGUGAAACUGAAAAGACAGAAAAUGACUCUCUUGAUAGGAGGAAAGAUAAAGAGCAUGACAAGGAGAAGCAGGAAAAGGAAAAAGAACUUCAAAGAUAUGAGCGUGAGCGUGAGCGAGAAAGAGUCAGGAGGGAUAGAGAUAAGGAACUCAAGCAUAGAGAAGUGGAAAGGAUGUACAAAGAUCACCUUAAAGAGUGGGAAUCCAGGGAGAGAGAUAAAGAAUAUCAAAGACAAUACGAGAAGGACCGUGAGAAGGAAAAAGAACGUGAACGCAAAAGGGAGAUCAUGAAGCAGGAAGAUGAAAGCGAUGAAGAGGAUUCGAGGAAAAGAAGACGAAGGAGCAGUAACGCACUUGAAGAGAGGAAAAGGCGGAGGCAACGCGAAAAACAGGAAGACUUCGCGGACAAAUUAAAAGAGGAACAGGAAAUUGCUGAAGCAAGGAGGCAUGCAAUAGAGCUGCAACAGCAGGCAGAUGAAGCAGCUGCGGCAGAGUCUGCUAUAUUUAUGGAGGUUGAUGGUGAUGACGGGAAGGAAGCAGAUGCACCAAACAAGCCGAUUGUUUCAGAUGAUGAUAAUGUCGUCAGCAUUGCUAAUGGUGUUGAUGCAGAUGAUGGCAAAACUCAUAAGGACUGUAACGGUGAUGAAGCAAGUAUGGUACCUGGUCAAAUUCUAGAUAUCAAACAAAAUAGCAAUGCUCCAGCAAAAAAGUUGGGUUUUGGUUUGAUUGGCUCUGGUAAACGGACAUCUGUUCCAUCAGUUUUUGCUGAAGAGGAUGAUGAUGAUAAUAAGGAUAAACGGAUAAGACCUUUAGUACCUAUUGAUUACUCCACUGAGGAAUUGCAAGCUGUGGAGGCGGAUUCUUAUUCUGACCAACCCAAUAAUAUUGUAGCAGCUGCUGAGUUUGCUAAGCGCAUCUUGGUAUCUAAUCAAAAGGAAGAGCAGCCUGAAACCGAAAGGAGUAGGAGAGCCAUUGAUAGAUCGACCCUAAGGGAUAAAAGUCGAAAUGAUGAAGAUGGUGCACGUCUUGGUGAUGACAGAAGAGAAAUGAUGCAUGAUCGAGACAACGAUAAGCCCAAGUUAGAGAACAAGAAAGUUUUGGAUGCAAAACAAUUGAUUGACAUGAUUCCGAGAACAAAGGAAGAGCUUUUUUCCUAUGAUAUUAAUUGGGCAAUAUAUGAGAAGCAUGAGUUGCAUGAUAGAAUGAGGCCUUGGAUCUCGAAAAAGAUAAUCGAAUUUCUUGGUGAGGAGGAAUCGACGUUGGUGGAAUAUAUUGUCUCGUGCACCAAAGAUCAUGUGCAUGCAUCGAAAAUGCUGGAGCUCCUACAGUCAAUUUUGGACGUCGAGGCUGAAAUGUUUGUCCUUAAGAUGUGGAGGAUGCUAAUAUUUGAAAUUAAGAAAGUUGAAGCAGGACUAUCAGUAAGAGGGAAGGCUUGAAGUUGAGGCAACUGUCUUGUAACAUUUUCUGCUUUUUGUCUGCAACUGUUUUCUUACUUCUAAGCUUAUGUUGUAAGACAGCUGCUGUAAACAUUUGAGUGAGAUUGAAUUACUGGUUCCCAUAUGUUCUGAUGUCUAUUGUAGAAAUGUAUACAUGAACUGUUGAUUCUCAAUAUUUGAUCUGAAAUUGCUGCGUACUUGCGUGU
rnacentral:rRNA from 1 species